rnacentral:rRNA from 1 species
AUUGAACGCUGGCGGCAGGCUUAACACAUGCAAGUCGAGCGGGGUGAGGUGCUUCGGUACUGAUCCUAGCGGCGGACGGGUGAGUAAUGCUUAGGAAUCUGCCAUUUAGUGGGGGACAACAUUCCGAAAGGAAUGCUAAUACCGCAUACGUCCUACGGGAGAAAGCAGGGGAUCUUCGGACCUUGCGCUAAAUGAUGAGCCUAAGUCGGAUUAGCUAGUUGGUGGGGUAAAGGCCUACCAAGGCGACGAUCUGUAGCGGGUCUGAGAGGAUGAUCCGCCACACUGGGACUGAGACACGGCCCAGACUCCUACGGGAGGCAGCAGUGGGGAAUAUUGGACGAUGGGCGGAAGCCUGAUCCAGCCAUGCCGCGUGUGUGAAGAAGGCCUUUUGGUUGUAAAGCACUUUAAGCGAGGAGGAGGCUACCUGGAUUAAUACUCUGGGAUAGUGGACGUUACUAGCAGAAUAAGCACCGGCUAACUCUGUGCCAGCCGCCGCAGUAA